ensembl:lincRNA 1700095A13Rik RIKEN cDNA 1700095A13 gene
AGAGGCCAUGUGACAUGAAGGAGUGUCAGAGAAAAAAAAGACCAAUGUGUCCUGGCAAACACAGCUCUGGAAACCCUAUGGCUGCUCGCUUGCAUUCCAAUCUUCCCUAGAAACAAUCCAAAAGCAGAAGGAAGAGAAAAGUCAAUGGCUAAUGUGGUUUAAAGUGAGGCUUUUCUAGUCAAGUUCUUCAACACCACAUAUUCUCCCAAGGUCUAGACUGCCAUGCUUCAUUUGUCUGCUCAGGUCUUGGCCAUCAGGAAUACAGAAGCAAUUAAGAUACGUGGAGUCCUGUCCUGCCUGUGGGGCCUUGGCCUCCCACGUUAGCAAGCAGCCUCCUGCCUCUGUGUGAGACCACCAGUGGGCCCGUGCACCUGUCCUUUCCUGUUCUUUCUCAGUGUCCGGCAGACAAACCCUCCGUAUCAACUUUCACCUUAACAAUUAAUUGCAUUCAAGAGUAUUCUGAGAACUGCCCCAGAGCUUUCAAGGGAGUUCUGGCCACAGAAAGAUUGGAGCCAGCUGCUCUGGGCACAGUCUUCCUGACCCACACCUGCAGGUUCCAGAAUGCUUCUCUGAUACAGUGACUGUUCCACCAUGACUGUGUGUUUCUGAUAGUGAAGAGACUUGAGGACAGGGACCAAAUGGUGGCUACUGUCUUGUCUUUUAAUUCUUGACGAAUAGUGGGUGUCAGAGGAAGAAGAAUUUUGAAAUGUU